UGAAACUUCGGGCUUGGUUGGCUAAUAUAGCAAUGUGCAAAGACAGGAUGUUCUUGCUUCUUUGGGAAUCUUGAUCACCUCACUCCUUCCAGAAGCAAUCAGCUGAUGUCUUGGCUCACUGUCUGCCUGAGCGAAUGUCCACAACAGCAUGUGACUGGGUGUCCUCAAAUGAGAGGGGUCUCGCCAGGACUAUGGCAACUCAGGAAGCCACUCCAGGAAGCCAAUCAGAGGAGAGCAAUGCUUUGGACCUGCCAUCAGCUUGUGACGUAAGGGAUUACGUGUUGCAGAGACCCAGCCAGGAGGCCAACAGUGAGGCUUUUAGUUCUGAGGAAGCCCUUUCUAUUCCUUGCUCUUCUGAUACGGAUCCAGGCAGACCUCUGAGGAAUCAUUCAUUGUCUCCGGGAGAAAAACAUCUUAUCUAAGCAAAACUGUUGGGAGAGACUUCAAAGGACAGCCUCCCUGGUGGAACCAGGACAAAGAGCUGUUUCCUGGAGGCCUUUUUGUCUGAGUCCCUUUCUGAUCUCCAUCCAAAUGCAUUUAGAGGCAGGGAGCACUUGAUUCAAUAAGGAGAGGGUAGAAUUGUUUUUUUGUUUUGUUCUUUUAAAACUUCAGAAAUAGCCACGUGGGCCUGUUGUGUGUCAUAGGGACCUUAGUGUUCCUCUUAUGAAGUAUACUCUGGAUUUAGGUAACAACUUUUCUGUAAGUUUCCCUGACCGAAUUGCCAAAAAGUCUGUUUUUUAAGUUUAAUGAUAAUUCUUUGACAUAGUUAGUGACCAUCUCUGGUUGUAAAGCCAAUCUCCUCCCUGUUUAUUGCCUAAUCCAGGCCUGUAGGUCCACAUAUUCAAGGCUUUGCCACUUACUGGUUGUGUGACUCAGGUCAUACUUCUUAACGCCUCUGAGUUCCAGAAUCAUCUAUCUACAAAAUGGGGAUCAAAAUGCUUGCUUCAUGGAGUAGGUUUAACUCAGGGAACAGUGCAGGGACACAUCAUAGUGUUUGCCAUACAUUGGCGCUCAGUCAAUUGCUAUUACAGUAUUCUGGUGCUAUUAUUAUUGUUGUUGUUGUUAAUAUUAAGAAACCCAAAUAUAUAUUUUUAAAGAGCACGCAGGUACUAAGAAAACGUGGGCCUUAAUGAAGAUGAAUUCAACAUUGGCAUUACCUCUUCUGGAAAGUCCUUGUGAGCCUCUUUCUGCUAACUCUGAAUAUCUUCACACCAGUCUCAGCACCGUCUCAGGCCACCAGGACUCUGGUUCAUUGACCAGCAUUGUGUCCGCUGCCCACUGAGCUCCCCUUUCAGCCUCUCAUCUUCCCAUCACUGAAGAAGCUCUACCUACCUGUAGACCUAUCGGAAAGAAGGCAUUGCCUUUUCAGAUAAAUUUCUCACACCAGGCAGGUUCCAACUUCUUAUGUUAAAACUGAAGGAAGAAAAUGAAGUCAUGGUUUUUUAACUUUGCUGGAAUGGAUGGAACUCUCAAUAACUCUUUCUGUCCAGAAAAGAUUUUCUCAUCUGGACCCGGAACUCUUCUUAUUCUUGGCUCUUUGCCCUUUGAAGCUGUAAAUCAUGCUCUUUGUUUGCUGAGUGGCUGCUGUUUCCCAACCCGCCAGCUCCCUGGAGUUUUUGAUGGAGCUAGGUCUUGCUAACAUGCUCAAAGUUACAAAAACCCAUCUUACUGGCACAUAACUUGCAAGGAUAAGUGUUUUUUAAUUCAUUCCUGGGAGCCUGGUGCUUCCCUGUGUGGGUUCUUGUUUUGCUCUCUGCCUGGUCUAAGAACAGUGCCUGUUGCAGACAUUGUCCAGACCUGAACCCUGGCCUGUAAGGAAUAAGGGUACAGUGCCUGUCACAUAGUAGGUGCUCAGCGGAGGGUGGUUGAAUAAAUGAACAACACACUUAAGUGAAAUUUGACAAGAUUUUAAAAUAGAUAUCAAGUAUCACGGUACCUUGUUCACCAGUUUAUAACUUUACCAUCAAAUUUAAGCUGUGAUUGAGCUUAUGUGUACUAUAGGACAAAAAAGAUUCUAAGUUAAAUAGUACAUAUGGGACUUCCCUGGUGGCGUAGUGGUUAAGAACCUGCCUGCCAAUGCAGGGGACACGGGUUUGAGCCCUGGUCUGGGAAGAUCCCAUAUGCCGCGGAGCAACUAAGCCCAUGCACCACAACUACUGAGCCUGUGCUCUAGAGCCCACGAGCCACAACAACUGAGCCCGUGAGCCACAGCUACUGAAGCCCGCGCACCUAGAGUCCAUGCUCCGCAACAAGAGAAGCCACCACAAUGAGAAGCCCGGCACCGCAAAGAAGAGUAGCUCCCGCUCGCCGCAGCUAGAGAAAGCCCAUGCACAGCAACGAAGAUCCAACGCAGCCAAAAAUAAGUAAAAAGAAAAUAGCAUGUACUCUCACAUAAGCCCUGCAGAUUUGCUCAACUCUCAUAUGAAAAGUGUUCAGACUAGCCCAGACUGGUCUCUCUCUAAAGCCCCCAGCUUUUUUUCUUUGAAGGACUUCCCUGGUGGCGCAGUGGUUAAGAAUCCGCCUGCCAAUGCAGGGGACACGGGUUGGAUCCCUGGCCCGGGAAGAUCCCACAUGCUGCGGAGCAACUAAGCCCGUGCACCACAACUGCUGAGCCUGCGUGCCACAACUAUUGAAGCCCGCACGCCUAAAGCCUGAGCUCCGCAACAAGAGAAACCACCGCAAUGAGAAGCCCACGCACCGCAACGAAGAGUAGCCCCCACUCAAUGCAACUAGAGAAAGCCCGCAUGCAGCAACGAAGACCCAACACAACCAAAUAAAUAAAAAAUUUUUUAAAAAGUCAAGAAAACAGCCAAGAAAUGAAUAUAUGUGAGGAGCUAUAAUGCUACUGAGAGUAGAAAAUUAUCACUACAUUUCCCCAUCAUGAAGAAAGUAUGUUGUUUCCUUCAUUUUUUUUUUUUCAGCAAAAAAAUCUCUCUAAUUGUAGUACAUGAGAUUACAGUUAUAAGGAUACCCCUAAAGACUGUCUUUUAAAGCUAUUUUCUUAAGAAAACUGUAUUCUUAUAUUUUAUAGUAUUGUGAGUUUUUUCCUGCUUACAAAAUAAUA